rnacentral:rRNA from 1 species
GGGGAAUAUUGGACAAUGGGCGCAAGCCUGAUCCAGCCAUGCCGCGUGAGUGAUGAAGGCCCUAGGGUUGUAAAGCUCUUUUGUGCGGGAAGAUAAUGACGGUACCGCAAGAAUAAGCCCCGGCUAACUUCGUGCCAGCAGCCGCGGUAAUACGAAGGGGGCUAGCGUUGCUCGGAAUCACUGGGCGUAAAGGGUGCGUAGGCGGGUCUUUAAGUCAGGGGUGAAAUCCUGGAGCUCAACUCCAGAACUGCCUUUGAUACUGAGGAUCUUGAGUUCGGGAGAGGUGAGUGGAACUGCGAGUGUAGAGGUGAAAUUCGUAGAUAUUCGCAAGAACACCAGUGGCGAAGGCGGCUCACUGGCCCGAUACUGACGCUGAGGCACGAAAGCGUGGGGAGCAAACA